rnacentral:rRNA from 1 species
UACGUAGGCAGCGAGCGUUGUUCGGAGUUACUGGGCGUAAAGCGUGCGUAGGCGGUGUUCCAAGUCUGUUGUGAAAUCUCCCGGCUUAACCGGGAGGGUGCGGCGAAUACUGAGAUGCUGGAGUGCCGGAGAGGUAAGCGGAAUUCCUGGUGUAGCGGUGAAAUGCGUAGAUAUCAGGAGGAACACCUGCGGUGUAGACGGCUUACUGGACGGUAACUGACGCUGAGGCACGAAAGCGUGGGGAGCAAACAGG